UCUUUUGAGUUCUAUUUCUUU
rnacentral:piRNA from 1 species